UACGUAGGGUGCAGGCAUUAAUCGGAAUUACUGGGCGUAAAGCGUGCGCAGGCGGUCUUUUAAGUCAGAUGUGAAAUCCCCGGGCUUAACCUGGGAACUGCGUUUGAAACUGGAAGGCUAGAGUGUGGCAGAGGGGGGUGGAAUUCCGCGCGUAGCAGUGAAAUGCGUAGAUAUGCGGAGGAACACCGAUGGCGAAGGCAAUCCCCUGGGCCUGCACCUACGCUCAUGCACGAAAGCGUGGGGAGCAAACAGG
rnacentral:rRNA from 1 species